ACUCCUACGGGAGGCAGCAGUGGGGAAUAUUGGACAAUGGGCGAAAGCCUGAUCCAGCAAUGCCGCGUGAGUGAUGAAGGCCUUAGGGUUGUAAAGCUCUUUUACCAGGGAUGAUAAUGACAGUACCUGGAGAAUAAGCUCCGGCUAACUCCGUGCCAGCAGCCGCGGUAAUAC
rnacentral:rRNA from 1 species